rnacentral:rRNA from 1 species
UACGGAGGGUGCAAGCGUUAUCCGGAUUUACUGGGUUUAAAGGGUGCGUAGGCGGGUUGAUAAGUCAGGGGUGAAACCUCCGAGCUUAACUCGGAAACUGCCUUUGAUACUAUCGGUCUUGAAUUCAGUUGAGGUGGGCGGAAUGUGUCGUGUAGCGGUGAAAUGCUUAGAUAUGACACAGAACACCAAUUGCGAAGGCAGCUCGCUAAACUGACAUUGACGCUGAGGCACGAAAGCGUGGGGAGCAAACAGG